rnacentral:rRNA from 1 species
UACGUAGGGUGCAAGCGUUGUCCGGAAUUAUUGGGCGUAAAGAGCUCGUAGGCGGUCUGUCGCGUCGGAUGUGAAAACCCAGGGCUCAACCCUGGGCCUGCAUUCGAUACGGGCAGACUAGAGUUCGGUAGGGGAGACUGGAAUUCCUGGUGUAGCGGUGAAAUGCGCAGAUAUCAGGAGGAACACCGGUGGCGAAGGCGGGUCCCUGGGCCGAAACUGACGCUGAGGAGCGAAAGCGUGGGGAGCAAACAGG